UACGAAGGGGGCUAGCGUUGUUCGGAAUUACUGGGCGUAAAGCGCGCGCAGGCGGUCUUCCAAGUUAGAGGUGAAAGCCCGGAGCUCAACUCCGGAACUGCCUUUAAAACUGCAUCGCUUGAAUCCAGGAGAGGUGAGUGGAAUUCCGAGUGUAGAGGUGAAAUUCGUAGAUAUUCGGAAGAACACCAGUGGCGAAGGCGGCUCACUGGACUGGUAUUGACGCUGAGGUGCGAAAGCGUGGGGAGCAAACAGG
rnacentral:rRNA from 1 species